UCCUUCUCAUUGAGAUCUUUUCUGUCAAUCUGUGGCAGUCUACGGAUUCACACAAGAAGAGACAAUUCACAGAGCUAGCAUUAUUUUGCCUCCUGUCUUCAGAGGUACAUUCAGCUCUUUUGUGAGACAUGG